rnacentral:rRNA from 1 species
GACGAACGCUGGCGGCGUGCUUAACACAUGCAAGUCGAACGGAAAGGCCCUGCUUGCAGGGUGCUCGAGUGGCGAACGGGUGAGUAACACGUGGGUGAUCUGCCCCUUACUUUGGGAUAAGCCUGGGAAACUGGGUCUAAUACUGGAUAGGACCAUGCUGUAGGUGGUGUGGUGGAAAGAUUAGUUUCGGUAAGGGAUGAGCUCGCGGCCUAUCAGCUUGUUGGUGGGGUAAUGGCCUAACAAGGCGUCGACGGGUAGCCGGCCUGAGAGGGUGGACGGCCACAUUGGGACUGAGAUACGGCCCAGACUCCUACGGGAGGCAGCAGUGGGGAAUAUUGCACAAUGGGCGCAAGCCUGAUGCAGCGACGCCGCGUGGGGGAUGACGGCCUUCGGGUUGUAAACUCCUUGCAGCCAUGACGAAGCCCUUGUGGUGACGGUAGUGGUAGAAGAAGCACCGGCUAACUACGUG